UCUGCGCAACAAAUGCAAAUGUCAUUGCCUUGCGUAAAACAACCCGAUGUCAUCACCUGCAAAGAUCAAAGAAUAUGAAGCACACACAGACUUUAUCAGGAGUGUUGCUGUCCAUCCCACUCUACCAUAUCUGUUGUCAUGUUCUGAUGACAAGGUUAUAAAGCUUUGGGAUUGGGAGAAGGAUUGGUCAUGUACUCAGAUCUUCGAGGGGCAUUCGCACUAUGUGAUGCAAGUGGCAUUUAAUCUGAAAGACCCCAAUACUUUUGCUAGUUCGCUUGAUGGCACCAUUAAGUAUGGGACAUUGAAACCAAAAGUUGUGUGCAAACUCUAGAAGGUCAUGAGCACAAUGUAACAGCUGUAUGUGUUCAUGCUGAGCUUCCCAUAAUAAUUACAGUUUCUGAGGAUGGGAACGUUCACUUAUGGAAUGCAACCACUUUUAGGCUAGAGGACAAAUUGAACUAUGCUCUUGGAAGAGUAUGGGCCAUUGGACACUUGAAAGGAUCAAACAAGGUUGAGGGUUGCAUUUGGUUUUGACAAAUGAAUGGCUCUCAUACUUGGGAUUCUGUUGACCUCCAAGCUUUGAAGGAAAGGUUGAAGGAAUAAAGACUGAUGCCUAUAAAUUCAAGAAUUAUUUUACCUUCUACAUGCACCUCAAAAUUUCAAGAAAGAAAUAAGGGAUAUAUAGAGCAAUAUGGAAGGAAAAAGGGUUCCAGGAGACUUGUGCAAGCAGUACUCAUCGUCAUGACUCAUGAUGAUGAUCGUGUUUUCGGUGAGUCAAGUGCAGGCUCAGUCGAUAACGUGCCUGCUCAAAUGCAUGCUCUUCUGUCAUUGUGUUAAAGCCAGCACAAUUUGUACAGGCUUGUGUUUGAAAGAUUGUAAGAAGACGCUCCCAGACCCUCUCUACUACUGUAAUCUUGGUUGCACAACUUCCAUCUGCACCAACCUCAGCCCUGAAAAGCUAGAUGGUUGUGCGGAUUCAGGCUCAGAAAACUGCAGAGAAGUUUAUGCUGCCAACUAGUAUUUGUAUAAGCAUAAUGAAUAAAAGACUCUCAACUGGUAUUUGUAAUAGCAGACAAUAUAUUGUUGAAUAAGAAAAUAUUGAGAGGCUUCUAAUUUAAAUAAAUCUAUGAUUGAGGUGGUUGUCGGGCCUGUCAUUGAGGUAAGAAA